rnacentral:rRNA from 1 species
UACGUAGGGGGCUAGCGUUGUCCGGAAUCAUUGGGCGUAAAGCGCGUGUAGGCGGUCCGGUAAGUCCGCUGUGAAAGUCGAGGGCUCAACCCUCGAAUGCCGGUGGAUACUGUCGGGCUAGAGUGCGGAAGAGGCGAGUGGAAUUCCUGGUGUAGCGGUGAAAUGCGCAGAUAUCAGGAGGAACACCUAUUGCGAAGGCAGCUCGCUGGACCGGUUCUGACGCUGAGGCGCGAAAGCGUGGGGAGCAAACAGG